UAUGUGAUCGUCUCUCGCAUAUCAAUAAGCGGAGGAAAAGAAACUAACAAGGAUUCCCCUAGUAACGGCGAGUGAAGCGGGAAGAGCUCAAAUUUGAAAUCUUAAAGGGUUUCCCUUUACGAAUUGUAGUUUAAAGAAGUGUUUUCUGUUGAGGUUUUGGUAAAAGUUCUUUGGAAUAGGACAUCAUAGAGGGUGAGAAUCCCGUAUUUGACCUUUACUUUCAACUUUGUGAUACACUUUCAAAGAGUCGGAUUGUUUGGGAAUGCAGUCCAAAAUGGGUGGUAAAUUUCAUCUAAAGCUAAAUAUUGGCGAGAGACCGAUAGCGAACAAGUACCGUGAGGGAAAGAUGAAAAGAACUUUGAAAAGAGAGUUAAACAGUACGUGAAAUUGUCAAAAGGGAAGCGUUUGACACCAGUGUUGUUUUUCUGAAAAUCAAUUAAAAGAACUGUUUAUGCUAAGCUGUUUAGACUUUAUCAGCUAUCUGUUUAGUUUUGAGCUUUUCUUUAAUGCACUUUUCAGUUAACAAGUCAACAUCAAUUUCCUUUUCGCUGUAAAAAAGCUUGAGGAAGGUGGCUUGAGAUUCGUCUUAAGUGUUUAUAGCCUCUUGCCUAUGCAGUCGGAGAGAUUGAGGUCUGCAGCGUAGAUCCUUCGGGGCUAAAUGCAUUUGUGCUAAGUUAUAGCAUUUUAUAGACAACUUGUUGACUAUGAUUUGUCUUGUAGCUUACUCGCUUAUGUUACUUUUACCUACGCUUAGGAUGUUGAUCUACAGAGCGAGAGU
rnacentral:rRNA from 1 species